AGAGUUUGAUCCUGGCUCAGAACGAACGCUGGCGGCAUGCCUUAUACAUGCAAGUCGAACGCGAAAGUACCUUCGGGUAUCAGUAGAGUGGCAAACGGGUGAGUAACGCGUGGGAAUAUACCUUAUAGUACGGAAUAGCCUUGGGAAACUGGGAUUAAUACCGUAUACGCCCUUAGGGGGAAAGAUUUAUCGCUAUAAGAUUAGCCCGCGUCAGAUUAGCUAGUUGGUGGGGUAAUGGCCUACCAAGGCAACGAUCUGUAGCUGGUCUGAGAGGACGAUCAGCCACAUUGGGACUGAGACACGGCCCAAACUCCUACGGGAGGCAGCAGUAGGGAAUAUUGGACAAUGGGCGAAAGCCUGAUCCAGCAAUGCCGCGUGAAUGAUGAAGGCCUUAGGGUUGUAAAGUUCUUUUAGUGGGGAAGAUAAUGACGGUACCCACAG
rnacentral:rRNA from 1 species